GGUUGGCUAAGGCCUCAUAGGAGAUGGCAUGUGAUUAGAUCCAAGAGGUAUUUGGCUGGAAGUGACCUCUGGACUCCUGGACCAUGUCUUAAGUACCUGGGAGGUGGAGCUGAGGUGGCGACUGGGCAUGCGCGAGGCUCAUUUCGCGCUGGAGGUCGUCUGGUGAGGAGCUCCUUGUUGCUGCUUUCAGGCCUAGGCCUAGGCCUGC